ACGGAAGGCAGCAGUGGGGAAUAUUGGGCAAUGGGCGCAAGCCUGACCCAGCAACGCCGCGUGAAGGAUGAAGGUCUUCGGAUUGUAAACUUCUUUAAUCGGGGAAGAAAAACAUGACCUACCCGAAGAAUAAGCCACGGCUAACUACGUGCCAGCAGCCGCGGUAAUACGUAGGUGGCAAGCGUUAUCCGGAUGUACUGGGUGUAAAGGGCGUGUAGGCGGCUUUGCAAGUCAGAAGUGAAAUUCCCGGGCUCAACGUGGGCGCUGCUUCUGAAACUGUAAAACUUGAGUGCUGGGUGGGAAAGCGGAAUUCCUAGUGUAGCGGUAGAAUGCGUAGAUAUUAGGAGGAACACCGGUGGCGAAGGCGGCUUUCUGGACAGUAACUGACGCUGAGGCGCGAAAGCGUGGGGAGCAAACAGGAUUAGAUACCCUGGUA
rnacentral:rRNA from 1 species